rnacentral:rRNA from 1 species
AUGACGGUUGUGAGCAAAUACCCAGUUCCGGUAAUAGAAGAGCUCCUUGAUGAACUUCGAGGGGCGCAAUGGUUCUCAAAAUUAGAUCUGCGUGCUGGCUAUCAUCAGAUCCGUUUAGCCGAAGGGGAGGAGUAUAAAACAGCUUUCCAAACACACUCGGGCCAUUGGGAAUACCGUGUCAUGCCAUUUGGGGUUAAUGCAGGACCAGCAACCUUCAAUGGGGCCAUGAACAUUACUCUCAAGCCAGCGAACAGAGUAUGUGUUGUGAACUUCUUCGACGACAUCUUGGUUUUUAGUAAAACUCUCCGCGAGCACAAGCAACACCUCACUCAAGUUCUGCAAUUGCUCCAUGCUGAUCAGUGGAAGGUGAAGCAAUCCAAGUGUUCUUUCGACCAACAACAAAUCACUUACCUCAGACAUGUGAUCAGUGCAGAAGGUGUCACAACUGAUCCUAGCAAGAUCCGCAUGAUCGAAAAGUGGCCAACACCUACAUCCGCAAAAGAAGUCUGGAGUUUCCUCAGGCUAGCAGGAUAUUGUCGCAAAUUUGUCAAACAUUUUGGUAUCAUAGCUCGCCCACUAUUCAACCUGCUCAAGAAGAACCAACCCUUCCUCUGGACAUCUGAAACUAACACUGAUUUUCAUCUGUUACAACAAAGUUUGAUUUCUGCUUUGGUGCUUCAGUUACCAGACUUCUCGCAACCAUUCAUGAUUGACACGGAUGCCUGUGACUAUGGAGUAGGGGCGGUCUUACACCAAGGAGGUCACCCCAUAGCUUACAUGAGAAAACCAUUAGGCCCCAAAACCGUGGCCUCUUGA